GAUCCUGGCUCAGAGUGAACGCUGGCGGCGUGCCUAAUACAUGCAAGUCGAACGGAGAUUAAAUAGCUUGCUAUUUAAUCUUAGUGGCGCACGGGUGAGUAAUAUAUAGUUAAUCUGCCCCAUAGUGGAGGACAACAGUUAGAAAUGACUGCUAAUACUCCAUACUCCUUCUUAUCAUAAGUUAAGUCGGGAAAGUUUUUCGCUAUGGGAUGAGACUAUAUCGUAUCAG
rnacentral:rRNA from 1 species